UAGGGAAUCUUCGGCAAUGGACGAAAGUCUGACCGAGCAACGCCGCGUGAGUGAAGAAGGUUUUCGGAUCGUAAAACUCUGUUGUUAGAGAAGAACAAGGACGUUAGUAACUGAACGUCCCCUGACGGUAUCUAACCAGAAAGCCACGGCUAACUACGUGCCAGCAGCCGCGGUAAUACGUAGGUGGCAAGCGUUGUCCGGAUUUAUUGGGCGUAAAGCGAGCGCAGGCGGUUUCUUAAGUCUGAUGUGAAAGCCCCCGGCUCAACAGGGGAGGGUCAUUGGAAACUGGGAGACUUGAGUGCAGAAGAGGAGAGUGGAAUUCCAGGUGUAGCGGUGAAAUGCGUAGAUAUAUGGAGGAACACCAGUGGCGAAGGCGGCUCUCUGGUCUGUAACUGACGCUGAGGCUCGAAAGCGUGGGGAGCAAACAGG
rnacentral:rRNA from 1 species